rnacentral:tRNA from 1 species
GCGGGAGUGGCGGAAUAGGCAGACGCGCAAGGCUUAGGCCCUUGUGCCGCAAGGCGUGGGGGUUCAAAUCCCUUCUCCCGCACCA